rnacentral:lncRNA from 1 species
UGCGCGGUCUGCCUCCCGCGGCGGGCCGGGUCUCCAGGGAGGACCUGAGUUUUCUUCACCCAUUGUCAGGGAGGCGCCAUCGCCCUGGCUUUGGGGCUGGGGCCUCCGGGGAGGUUCCGGUAGGGGCGUUGGAGAGGCCGCUCUUUUUGCAAGGCCCGAGACGGCGGGCCCUGCGCAGGCCGCCCUAUUCCGCGCCCUCAGGGCGUCAGUAUCAGCCUGAGGCUGGAUACCCCCGCUGGGCCCGGAUGACCCCGCUGGGCCCGGAGCAUCCUCCGGCGCUGCCCUCCCAGAGCCACGCAGAGGCUGAGGUGGCGCGGGGGCGGCCCCGGCUCCGCGAGAAGCGGCGGCAGCGAGGGCUGGAGGACCCGGGCUGCGGGGCUCCGGGGCGUCUGGCCUGGGUGGGACUGAGCCCAUCCAGGGACUGGGACUCUGGGAUUCUGGUGUAGGUGGAUCCGGGGCAGGCUCAGGACCAAGUCCCUCUCCUUCCACCAAGGAGCGCCCAGAGGCCGGCGGGAGCUCCAGGUUCACCUCCUCCUCCUCCAGGAAAUCCCACUUCCAGCUAGAUGUCUGCAUGAACUACUGAAAGCUGCUGAGUGUCUUGCAGCAGGCCAUUUUCAAUCCAGAGGAAGACCUUCUAAAAGAGGUGAUGGAUGGGAGAGUGCUGACAUACUAUGUGAAGCUACUAUUUGGAGUUGGACACGAGUGCAUGUGACCUUGUGCCACAGCGGGAAUCUUGACUACCACACAAAUGAAUCCAUUCAAAUGUUGGCAAGUGGAGCAGAGUCCCAGGACAGGUACAGAAACACCCCCAGUUCAAGAAUCUUCACAUCUGAAUUUAGUCCUACACCUGCAACUACCCCAGCUACUUACACCAAGAUGAAGAUAAUUUAUUAGUUCA